AGCGCCAGGGAAUUACGAGCAAUGCUUAAAACCCAAAGGAUUUGACGGUAUCCCAUCCACCUAGAGGAGCCUGUUCUAUAAUCGAUAACCCCCGCUACACCCAACCACUCCUAGCCCAUCAGCCUGUAUACCUCCGUCGAAAGCCUACCAUGUGAAUGUUCUUAGUGAGCUUAAUGUCCCCAUCAAAACGUCAGGUCAAGGUGCAGCUCAUGGAGUGGAAAGCAAUGGGCUACAAUUUCUAAUCUAGAACAUACGAAAAACUAGGUGAAACCCUAGUCAUGAAGGCGGAUUUAGCAGUAAAAAGAAAAUAGAGUGUUCUUUUUAACCCGGCCCUGGGAUGUGUACACACCGCCCGUCACCCUCUUCGACUGUAUUUAACAAUGUUCUAUAACUUCCCCCCUACAUCUUAGAAGAGGCAAGUCGUAACACGGUAAGUGUACUGGAAAGUGCACUUGGCUAAUAC
rnacentral:rRNA from 1 species